rnacentral:rRNA from 1 species
CAGUAGCCGCGGGAAUACGGAGGGAGCUAGCGUUGUUCGGAAUUACUGGGCGUAAAGCGCACGUAGGCGGUUAUUCAAGUCAGAGGUGAAAGCCCGGGGCUCAACCCCGGAACUGCCUUUGAAACUAGAUGACUGGAAUCUUGGAGAGGUCAGUGGAAUUCCGAGUGUAGAGGUGAAAUUCGUAGAUAUUCGGAAGAACACCAGUGGCGAAGGCGACUCGCUGGACAAGUAUUGACGCUGAGGUGCGAAAGCGUGGGGAGCAAACAGGAUUAGAUACCCCGGUAGUCCCUGUCUCUUAUAC